rnacentral:rRNA from 1 species
GACGAACGCUGGCGGCGUGCUUAACACAUGCAAGUCGAACGAUGAAGAAGAGAAACGCGAACUUCGGUUCAAAUUUCACUUCGGAUUAGUGGCAGACGGGUGAGUAACGCGUGAGCAACCUACCUCUUACAAAGGGAUAGCCUCGGGAAACCGUGAUUAAUACCAUAUGACACAUUCAUAAGGCAUCUUAAGAAUGUUAAAGCUACGGCGGUAAGAGAUGGGCUCGCGUCCCAUUAGCUAGUUGGUGAGGUAACGGCCCACCAAGGCGACGAUGGGUAACCGGCCUGAGAGGGUGAACGGUCACAUUGGAACUGAGACACGGUCCAAACUCCUACGGGAAGCAGCAGUGGGGAAUAUUGCACAAUGGAGGGAACUCUGAUGCAGCGACGCCGCGUGGGCGAUGAAGGAAUUCGUUUCGUAAAGCUCUGUUCUAUGGGAAGAAAAGGACUGUACCAUAGGAGAAAGCCCCGGCUAAAUACGUG